AACGAACGCUGGCGGCAUGCCUAACACAUGCAAGUCGAACGAGACCUUCGGGUCUAGUGGCGCACGGGUGCGUAACGCGUGGGAACCUGCCUUUAGGUUCGGAAUAACUCAGAGAAAUUUGAGCUAAUACCGGAUAAUGUCUUCGGACCAAAGAUUUAUCGCCUUUAGAUGGGCCCGCGUAAGAUUAGCUAGUUGGUGGGGUAAAGGCCUACCAAGGCGACGAUCUUUAGCUGGUCUGAGAGGAUGAUCAGCCACACUGGGACUGAGACACGGCCCAGACUCCUACGGGAGGCAGCAGUGGGGAAUAUUGGACAAUGGGCGCAAGCCUGAUCCAGCCAUGCCGCGUGAGUGAUGAAGGCCUUCGGGUUGUAAAGCUCUUUCGCACGCGACGAUGAUGACGGUAGCGGUGAGAAGAAGCCCGGCUAACUUCGUGCCAGCAGCCGCGGUAA
rnacentral:rRNA from 1 species